CAAAAACAUAGCCUAUCGNUUUUUNAUAAUAAGUUUUUUCCGCCCGGUGCUUUUAACGGCCGCGGUAUCCUGGCCGUGCAAAGGUAGCAUAAUCNCUNGUCCUUUAAUUGGGGGCUAGAAUGAAAGAAAGUUUGAGGCCCCCUCUGUCUCUCUCUUAUAAAUAAAAUUUGCUGUCUUUGUGAAGAAGCAAAGGUGUCCGAAAAAGACAAGAAGGCCCUAGUAAGCCUGAUCUUGUCAUUUUUAUCUAGAUUAAAUAAAAAUGAAAAGAUUUGGUUGGGGUGAUCAAAGAAGAUUUUUAUCUUCUCUUUCUUACAAGNCUUUCCGUCAAAAAGUGNCCCAGAAANUUCUGGUUGCAAGAAGUAGUUACUAUAGGGAUAACAGCGUAAUCUCUUCAUAAAGUUCCUCNUGAANAAAAGGAGUGCGNUCCUCGAUGNUGGAAUAUGUUAUCC
rnacentral:rRNA from 1 species